rnacentral:rRNA from 1 species
AUACGAAGGGGGCUAGCGUUGUUCGGAAUUACUGGGCGUAAAGCGCGCGUAGGCGGUCUGUUAUGUCAGAUGUGAAAGUCCUCGGCUCAACCGGGGAAGUGCAUUUGAAACUGGCAGACUUGAGUAUUGGAGGGGGUAGUGGAAUUCCCGGUGUAGAGGUGAAAUUCGUAGAUAUCGGGAGGAAUACCGGUGGCGAAGGCGACUACCUGGCCAAAUACUGACGCUGAGGUGCGAAAGCGUGGGGAGCAAACAGGAUUAGAAACCCUAGUAGUCC